GUUUUGCCUAUAGUCCUGAACAUUCAUGAAAUAUUAGCCACUGGACGAUAAGUGACAAUUUCGCGUCUAUCUUCCAAACAUGUGUACUGUUAAAUCGUCAUUAUAAAAUCCACAAUUUAUAUGGUGCAAAAUUGUAGAUUUAUUUUCUUUAUAUACAAAGUCUUUUUUUCUAGAUUUAUUCAACAUUACUUUUUAAAAACAUUGUAGCAUCA
rnacentral:lncRNA from 1 species